rnacentral:rRNA from 1 species
UACGUAGGGUCCGAGCGUUGUCCGGAAUUACUGGGCGUAAAGAGCUCGUAGGUGGUUUGUCGCGUUGUUCGUGAAAACUCACAGCUCAACUGUGGGCGUGCGGGCGAUACGGGCAGACUUGAGUACUGCAGGGGAGACUGGAAUUCCUGGUGUAGCGGUGGAAUGCGCAGAUAUCAGGAGGAACACCGGUGGCGAAGGCGGGUCUCUGGGCCGAUACUGACGCUGAGACGCGAAAGCGUGGGGAGCAAACAGG